rnacentral:rRNA from 1 species
UACAGAGGUCCCAAGCGUUGUUCGGAUUUACUGGGCGUAAAGGGUGCGUAGGCGGUGGGGUAAGUUUGAGGUGAAAGCUCCGGGCUCAACCCGGAAACUGCCUUGAAAACUAUCCGGCUAGAGGGUUGGAGGGGAGACUGGAAUUCUCGGUGUAGCAGUGAAAUGCGUAGAUCUCGAGAGGAACACCAGUGGCGAAGGCGGGUCUCUGGACAACACCUGACGCUGAGGCACGAAAGCCAGGGGAGCAAAC